GACGAACGCUGGCGGCGUGCCUAACACAUGCAAGUGGAGCGACGAACCAGGCUUCGGCCUGGGGCGAGAGCCGCCGAACGGGUAGGAGUAACACGUGGGUAACCGUCGCCCUCGAUGAUUGGGACGAACCCGACGGAAACGUACGGGCGUAAUAACCAAAUAGUGCCCUCCGACCAUAAGGUCGCUGGGAAGGAAGCUUCGGCCUCCGCAUCGGGA
rnacentral:rRNA from 1 species